rnacentral:tRNA from 1 species
AAUAGAAGCCAAAAAUAAGGCUAUUCACUGUUAAUGAAUAAUUUGGAUUUUAAUAAUUCCUAUU